GACAGAGGGGGCAAGCGUUGCUCGGAAUUACUGGGCGUAAAGGGCGCGUAGGCGGGAUGGCAAGUCGGUCGUGAAAUCCCUCGGCUCAACUGAGGAUCGUCGAUCGAUACUGCCGUUCUUGAGGAUUGCAGAGGAGACUGGAAUUCUCGGUGUAGCGGUGAAAUGCGUAGAUAUCGAGAGGAACACCUGCGGCGAAGGCGGGUUGCUGGGCUGACACUGACGCUGAACUGCGAAAGCUAGGGGAGCGAACGGG
rnacentral:rRNA from 1 species